CCGGAGACUUUUUCCUUGGCUUUCCUGGAAGCGGUGAAUCACCUCGCUCCUUUCCUGGGGCGGGGAGACCCGUGCGACAUCCGCGCUCGGGCUGUGCCACCUCCUGGUGACAGCGGGCGGUGCGUCCCUGCAGCCCUGCAUCCUUUCAUUCCUGUGUCCUUGUGCCCCUGCAUCCCUGCAUCUUUCAUCCCUGCAUCGCUGCAUCCUUUCAUUCCUGUGUCCUUGUGUCCCUGCAUCCCUGAAUCCUUCAUCCCUGCAUCGCUGCAUCCUUUCAUUCCUGUGUCCUUGUGUCCCUGCAUCCCUGAAUCCUUCAUCCCUGCAUCGCUGCAUCCUUUCAUUCCUGUGUCCUUGUGUCCCUGCAUCCCUGAAUCCUUCAUCCCUGCAUCGCUGCAUCCUUUCAUUCCUGUGUCCUUGUGUCCCUGCAUCCCUGAAUCCUUCAUCCCUGCAUCGCUGCAUCCUUUCAUUCCUGUGUCCUUGUGUCCCUGCAUCCCUGAAUCCUUCAUCCCUGCAUCGCUGCAUCCUUUCAUUCCUGUGUCCUUGUGUCCCUGCAUCCCUGAAUCCUUCAUCCCUGCAUCGCUGCAUCCUUUCAUUCCUGUGUCCUUGUGUCCCUGCAUCCCUGAAUCCUUCAUCCCUGCAUCGCUGCAUCCUUUCAUUCCUGUGUCCUUGUGUCCCUGCAUCCCUGAAUCCUUCAUCCCUGCAUCGCUGCAUCCUUUCAUUCCUGUGUCCUUGUGUCCCUGCAUCCCUGAAUCCUUCAUCCCUGCAUCGCUGCAUCCUUUCAUUCCUGUGUCCUUGUGUCCCUGCAUCCCUGAAUCCUUCAUCCCUGCAUCGCUGCAUCCUUUCAUUCCUGUGUCCUUGUGUCCCUGCAUCCCUGAAUCCUUCAUCCCUGCAUCGCUGCAUCCUUUCAUUCCUGUGUCCUUGUGUCCCUGCAUCCCUGAAUCCUUCAUCCCUGCAUCGCUGCAUCCUUUCAUUCCUGUGUCCUUGUGUCCCUGCAUCCCUGCCUCGCUGAAUCCCUGCAUCCCUUCAUCCCUGUAUCCUUUCAUCCCUGCAUCCCUUCAUUCCUGUGUCCUUUUUUCCCUUCAUCCCUGCAUCUUUCAUCUCUGCAUUCCUGUAUCCUUUCAUCCCUGUAUUCCUGCAUCCUUUCAUUCCUGUGUUCUUGUGUCCCUGCAUCCCUGA
rnacentral:lncRNA from 1 species